rnacentral:rRNA from 1 species
UGAGGAAUAUUGGUCAAUGGUCGAGAGACUGAACCAGCCAAGUCGCGUGAAGGAAGACGGCUCUAUGAGUUGUAAACUUCUUUUGUACAGGAGUAAAGUGAGACACGCGUGUUUUAUUGCAAGUACUGUACGAAUAAGCAUCGGCUAACUCCGUGCCAGCAGCCGCGGUAAUACGGAGGAUGCAAGCGUUAUCCGGAUUUAUUGGGUUUAAAGGGUGCGUAGGCGGUAUUACAAGUCAGGGGUGAAAUCUUGGUGCUUAACAUUAAAAUUGCCUUUGAAACUGUGGUACUUGAGUGUAAAAGAGGUAGGCGGAAUGUGUUGUGUAGCGGUGAAAUGCAUAGAUAUAACACAGAACCCCGAUUGCGAAGGCAGCUUACUAUCAUACAACUGACGCUGAUGCACGAAAGCGUGGGGAUCAAACA